UAGGGAAUCUUCCACAAUGGGCGAAAGCCUGAUGGAGCAACGCCGCGUGUGUGAUGAAGGGUUUCGGCUCGUAAAACACUGUUGUAAGAGAAGAAUGACAUUGAGAGUAACUGUUCAAUGUGUGACGGUAUCCUACCAGAAAGGAACGGCUAAAUACGCGCCAG
rnacentral:rRNA from 1 species